rnacentral:rRNA from 1 species
CCUACGGGAGGCAGCAGUGAGGAAUAUUGGUCAAUGGGCGCGAGCCUGAACCAGCCAAGUAGCGUGAAGGAUGACUGCCCUACGGGUUGUAAACUUCUUUUAUAAAGGAAUACAGUGAGGCACGUGUGCCUUUUUGUACGUACUUUAUGAAUAAGGAUCGGCUAACUCCGUGCCAGCAGCCGCGGUAAUACGGAGGAUCCGAGCGUUAUCCGGAUUUAUUGGGUUUAAAGGGAGCGUAGAUGGGUUGGUAAGUUCGUUGUUAAAGUUUGCGGCUCAACCGGAAAAUUGCAAUUGAUACUGGCAGUCUUGAGUACGGUUGAGGUAGGCGGAAUUCGUGGUGUAGCGGUGAAAUGCGUAGAUAUCACGAAGAACUCCGAUUGCGAAGGCAGCUUACUAAACUUCCACUGACAUUGAUGCUCGAAAGUGUGGGUAUCAAACAGGAUUAGAUACCCCUGUAGUC